rnacentral:rRNA from 1 species
GGUUGCGAUCAUACCAGCACUAAUGCAUCGGAUCCCAUCAGAACUCCGCAGUUAAGCGUGCUUGGGCGAUAGUAGUACUAGGAUGGGUGACCCCCUGGAAAGUCCUCAUGUAGCAACCCC